UCGGGAAUAUUGCGCAAUGGAGGAAACUCUGACGCAGUGACGCCGCGUGCAGGAAGAAGGUUUUCGGAUUGUAAACUGCUUUAGACAGGGAAGAAGAAGUGACAGUACCUGUAGAAUAAGCUCCGGCUAACUACGUGCCAGCAGCCGCGGUAAUACGUAGGGAGCGAGCGUUAUCCGGAUUUAUUGGGUGUAAAGGGUGCGUAGACGGGAAAUCAAGUUAGUUGUGAAAUCCCUCGGCUUAACUGAGGAACUGCAACUAAAACUGAUAUUCUUGAGUACUGGAGAGGAAAGUGGAAUUCCUAGUGUAGCGGUGAAAUGCGUAGAUAUUAGGAGGAACACCAGUGGCGAAGGCGACUUUCUGGACAGAAACUGACGUUGAGGCACGAAAGUGUGGGGAGCAAACA
rnacentral:rRNA from 1 species